UACAGGGGGUGCAAACGUUGCUCGGAAUUACUGGGCGUAAAGCGCACGUAGGCGGCUUCUUAAGUCGGAGGUGAAAUCCUGGAGCUCAACUCCAGAACUGCCUUCGAUACUGGGAAGCUCGAGUCCGGGAGAGGUGAGUGGAACUGCGAGUGUAGAGGUGAAAUUCGUAGAUAUUCGCAAGAACACCAGUGGCGAAGGCGGCUCACUGGCCCGGUACUGACGCUGAGGUGCGAAAGCGUGGGGAGCAAACAGG
rnacentral:rRNA from 1 species